UGGGUUGUAGCUCAGUGGUGGAGUACUUGCCUCCUGUGUGUGAGGCACUGGGUUUGAUCCUAAGCAUCCCAU
rnacentral:tRNA from 1 species